rnacentral:rRNA from 1 species
AAUGGGGGCAACCCUGAUCCAGCCAUGCCGCGUGAGUGAAGAAGGCCUUAGGGUUGUAAAGCUCUUUCAGCAGGGAAGAUGAUGACGGUACCUGCAGAAGAAGCCCCGGCUAACUCCGUGCCAGCAGCCGCGGUAAUACGGAGGGGGCUAGCGUUGCUCGGAAUUACUGGGCGUAAAGGGCGCGUAGGCGGAUUUCCCAGUCAGGCGUGAAAGCCCCGGGCUCAACCCGGGAACUGCGUUUGAUACUGGAAGUCUAGAGAUCUGGAGAGGGUGGUGGAAUUCCCAGUGUAGAGGUGAAAUUCGUAGAUAUUGGGAAGAACACCGGUGGCGAAGGCGGCCACCUGGCCAGAUACUGACGCUAAGGCGCGAAAGCGUGGGGAGCAAACAGGAUU